rnacentral:rRNA from 1 species
CCCUUAGAUGUUCUGGGCUGCACGCGCGCUACACUGACACACGCAACGAGUCUCCUGCCCUGACAGGGUCGGGUAAUCAUUUGAGUGUGUGUCGUGAUGGGGAUAGAGUAUUGCAAUUAUUGCUCUUGAACGAGGAAUUCCUAGUAAGCACAAGUCAGCAGCUUGUGCUGAUUACGUCCCUGCCCUUUGUACACACCGCCCGUCGCUCCUACCGAUUGGAUGAUCCGGUGAGCUAUUCGGACCUUCGCUUCGUCGAUUUUCGGCUUUGUGAGGGAAAGUCUCGCGAACCUUAUCAUCUAGAGGAAGGAGAAGUCGUAACA